UACGAAGGGGGCUAGCGUUGUUCGGAAUCACUGGGCGUAAAGCGCACGUAGGCGGAUUGUUAAGUCGGGGGUGAAAUCCUGAGGCUCAACCUCAGAACUGCCUUCGAUACUGGCAAUCUCGAGUCCGGAAGAGGUUGGUGGAACAGCUAGUGUAGAGGUGAAAUUCGUAGAUAUUAGCUAGAACACCAGUGACGAAAGGCGGCCAACUGGUCCGGUACUGACGCUGAGGUGCGAAAGCGGUGGGGAGCAAACAGGAUUAGAUACC
rnacentral:rRNA from 1 species